AACGCUGGCGGCAGGCUUAACACAUGCAAGUCGAACGCCCUCGCAAGGGGGAGUGGCAGACGGGUGAGUAACACGUGGGAACAUACCCUUCGGUUCGGAACAACGCCGGGAAACUGGCGCUAAUACCGGAUACGCCCUUUGGGGGAAAGGCUUGCCGCCGAAGGAGUGGCCCGCGUUCGAUUAGCUUGAUGGCGGGGUAACGGCCCACCAUGGCGACGAUCGAUAGCUGGUCUGAGAGGAUGGCCAGCCACAUUGGGACUGAGACACGGCCCAAACUCCUACGGGAGGCAGCAGUGGGGAAUAUUGGACAAUGGGCGCAAGCCUGAUCCAGCCAUGCCGCGUGAGUGAUGACGGCCUUAGGGUUGUAAAGCUCUUUCGCACGCGACGAUAAUGACGGUAGCGUGAGAAGAAGCCCCGGCUAACUUCGUGCCAGCAGCCGCGGUAAUACGAAGGGGGCUAGCGUUGUUCGGAAUCACUGGGCGUAAAGGGUGCGCAGGCGGGUUCAUAAGUCAGGGGUGAAAUCCCGAGGCUCAACCUCGGAACUGCCUUUGAUACUGUGGAUCUUGAGUCCGGAAGAGGU
rnacentral:rRNA from 1 species